rnacentral:rRNA from 1 species
CAUGUAGGGCGCAAGCGUUGUCCGGAAUUAUUGGGCGUAAAGAGCUCGUAGGUGGUUUGUUACGUCCGCUGUGAAAUCCUAGGGCUUAACCCUGGGCUUGCAGUCGAUACGGGCAGACUUGAGUGUUGCAGGGGAGACUGGAAUUCCUGGUGUAGCGGUGAAAUGCGCAGAUAUCAGGAGGAACACCGGUGGCGAAGGCGGUUCUCUGGACCGUAACUGACGCUGAGGAGCGAAAGCAUGGGGAGCGAACAGG